rnacentral:piRNA from 1 species
UGGGAUCUUCAGAUUUCCCUUGGUUGCUUGA